GACGAACGCUGGCGGCGUGCCUAACACAUGCAAGUCGAACGAAAAGAUCAGGAGUUUGCGCGUUUGACGUUAGCGGCGGACGGGAGAGUCACAUGUGUAUAACCUACCUAUCAGACUGGGAUAAUCACGGGAAACCGGAUCUUAUACCGGAUAACAUAUUGCACCGUGUUGUUCAAUAGUGAAAUGCGGCUUUUGUGUCAGUAAUAGCUGGAUCAGCGCCGUAUGCGCUAGUUGGUAGGGUAAUGGCUUACCAAGGCUAGGAUACGUAGCCGACCGGAGAGGGUGGUCGGCGACAUUGGAAGUGAGACAGGGCCGAGACUCCUAGGGUAGGCAGCAGUAGGGAAUCGUACGCAAUGGGGGAGAGCGUGACAGAGCAACGCGGCGUGAGUGAUGAUGGAGUUCGGAUCGGAAAGCUCUGUUGUCAGGGAAGAACAAAUGUGUAAUUAACCGGGCAGAUAUUGACGGUACCGGGUCAAAAAGCCCCGGCUAACUACGUG
rnacentral:rRNA from 1 species